GUCAUCAGUGGUCUUCUGGCAUAUGGUUACUAUGACUACAAGAGGUGCGAUCCUUUGGCAUCCAAUCACAUCACCAACCUUGAUCAGGUAUUACCCUUCAUGAUCCUCGACAUUUUCCGGAACCUGCCAGGAAUGCCGGGCCUCUUUCUUGCAGCAGUCUUCAGUGCUUCUCUCAGUUCACUAUCAUCAGGUGUAUCUGCUCUCGCAAACACAACAUGGGAGGACUUUAUCAAACCCUGUGCUGCUCAAAUGUCAGACGUUCGGAAAUUAAUUAUUGUCAAAA